UGGGGAAUAUUGGACAAUGGGGGCAACCCUGAUCCAGCGAUGCCGCGUGGGUGAAGAAGGCCUGCGGGUUGUAAAGCCCUUUCGGUUGGGAAGAAAAGCUCCGUGCUAAUACCAUGGGGUGUUGACGUUACCGACAGAAGAAGCACCGGCUAACUCCGUGCCAGCAGCCGCGGUAAUACGGAGGGUGCGAGCGUUAAUCGGAAUUACUGGGCGUAAAGGGCGCGUAGGCGGUUCAGUGAGUCGGAUGUGAAAGCCCUGGGCUUAACCUGGGAAUGGCAUUCGAUACGGCUGGGCUAGAGUAUGGUAGAGGGAAGUGGAAUUUCCGGUGUAACGGUGAAAUGUGUAGAGAUCGGAAGGAACACCAGUGGCGAAGGCGACUUCCUGGACCAAUACUGACGCUCAAGCGCGAAAGCGUGGGGAUCAAACAG
rnacentral:rRNA from 1 species